rnacentral:ribozyme from 1 species
UGCGAGGCCCGCGAUAGGCGGGGCAUCUCCUACCUCCGGCUCUCUCUCGAAGGGGAAGACCUCUUCAAUUUCCCGAU